GACGAACGCUGGCGGCGUGCCUAAUACAUGCAAGUAGAACGCUGAAGGAGGAGCUUGCUUCUCUGGAUGAGUUGCGAACGGGUGAGUAACGCGUAGGUAACCUGCCUGGUAGCGGGGGAUAACUAUUGGAAACUAUAGCUAAUACCGCAUAAUAGUAGAUGUUGCAUGACAUUUUCUUAAAAGGUGCAAUUGCAUCACUACCAGAUGGACCUGCGUUGUAUUAGCUAGUUGGUGAGGUAACGGCUCACCAAGGCAACGAUACAUAGCCGACCUGAGAGGGUGAUCGGCCACACUGGGACUGAGACACGGCCCAGACUCCUACGGGAGGCAGCAGUAGGGAAUCUUCGGCAAUGGACGGAAGUCUGACCGAGCAACGCCGCGUGAGUGAAGAAGGUUUUCGGAUCGUAAAGCUCUGUUGUAAGAGAAGAACGAGUGUGAGAGUGGAAAGUUCACACUGUGACGGUAUCUUACCAGAAAGGGACGGCUAACUACGUG
rnacentral:rRNA from 1 species